GUACACGCUGUGACUAGCAUAUCAAUAAGCGGAGGAAAAGAAACUAACUAGGAUUCCCUCAGUAACGGCGAGUGAAGCGGGAAGAGCUCAAAUUUGAAAUCUUCAAGGUUCUACCUAGACGAAUUGUAGUUUAAAGAAGUGUUUUCUGUUGGAGUUUUGGUAAAAGUUCUUUGGAAUAGGACAUCAUAGAGGGUGAUGAAUCCCGUAUUUGACCAUUAUUUCCAGCUUUGUGAUACACUUUCGAAGAGUCGGAUUGUUUGGGAAUGCAGUCCAAAAUGGGUGGUAAAUUUCAUCUAAAGCUAAAUAUUGGCGAGAGACCGAUAGCGAACAAGUACCGUGAGGGAAAGAUGAAAAGAACUUUGAAAAGAGAGUUAAACAGUACGUGAAAUUGUCAAAAGGGAAGCGUUUGACACCAGUGUUGUUUUCUCGAAAAUCAAUUAAAAAAGGCAGGAUUUUGUGUUGUAUUGACUUUAUCAGCUUUCUGCACUCUUUUCUUGUCUUUUUUAAUGCACUUUUCGUUUAACAAGUCAACAUCAAUUUCUUUUGUUGUAAAAGGGUCAUUGGAAGGUGGCUUUCUUUUCGGAGAAAGUGUUUAUAGCCUUUGGCCUCUGCAAUCGGAGAGAUUGAGGUCUGCAGCGUAGAUCCUUCGGGGUUAGAUACAUUUGUGCUAAGUUAUAGCCUUUCAUAGACAACUUGUUGACUAUGAUCAGUCAUGUAGCUUACUCGCUUAUGCUAUUUUACCUACGCUUAGGAUGUUGAAGACUCUACAGAGAUA
rnacentral:rRNA from 1 species